CCGCUAGAAUUCGACGUGAAAAAGAAAUAUCUGCCGGAAAAAAUCUAAUGGUUUCUUUUUUCAGAAAUGAAGUAUUUCACCCAAAAGUAAAUGAAGCUAUCACAUGUUCUCAGAAAUGAAGUAUUUCACCCAAUUUUCUACAACUAUUCUUCCAUCCAAGAUUGGAAGAAUAGUUUAUGAACAAAUCAUUCAAGAUGAUAUAUAUAAAAACAAAAGAAGAAUAACUAAAAUUCAAAAUUCAAAUAAACAAAAAAAUAUGAAACAGGCCAACACAAGACCUGGUCUUGAAUCAGAAUCAAAUAAAAAUUCAGAGACACAUAAAAAAACCAAAACAGGAAUAAAUAGAAAAUUAUUGGCUAUAACUGAAGAUAAUCAGGCCAAUAACAAUUCAGAUCAUGAUAGAAACUAUUCUGAAGAAAGAAUUCCAGAAAUAGAAGAAAUAAGUCAAAUAAAUGAAAAUAAUAAUUUUCAAGAAAAUAAAACAUCCUCUGAAGAUAGAAGAACAUUAGAAAGAGGAAAAUUCACUAAAAAAAAAACAAAAGAACUAACCCUAGACAAGAUAACCAAAACAGUCAAGAGACUGGUCCAGGGGAUACCUCAGGGAAAGACCAAGAAAGGACUGCCUCACCUGAUUUUGAAAAAAAUUCAGAAACAGUAGGAAACAUGCAUAAAAAUAGAUCAAACCAAAGUCAAAACAUUCAAAAUAACUCAAGAAAUCAGAAUUGUGAAAACAAUUCACAUUUGACAGGUCACAAACAUAAUAAGUCACAUAAUUUUGAGAAAAAUUCAGUGAUAGCAGGUAAUACUAAUAAUCUGCAUAAAAACAUACAAAACCAAGUCCAAAACUCUGAAAAUAACUCAAAAACUCAAGACUAUGAAAGCAAAUCAUCUUCCACAGGUCAUGGAUAUGAUAAAUCACAGAGUUUUGAGCAAAAUUCGACAAUAGCAGGCAAGAUUAAUAACCUGCAUAGAAAUAUACAAAGCAAAACUCAAAAUUCUGAAAAUAAUGCAGGUUUUGUAGGUCAUGAACAAAAUCAAUCAAAUGAUUCAAUGACUGUUUCAAAUAUUGAUAAAAAUAAUUCAGAAAUACUAGAAUGGAAUGGACUAGAGGUGAUGAUCCCAGUAUUAUCUCAGGGAUCCCAGUAUUAUCCAAAAAUUGGUGGUAUUGCAGAAGAUUAUUCAUGCCCUUAAUUAUCAAUUAAUCAUGCCCUUAAUUAUCAAUUGGACUAGAGGUGAUGAACUUACCUGGAAGAUGCUUGACGGCGGACAGGAGUGAACAAGAAGUUGUACGUUCGUCGGAAGAAUGGAGUGACCGAUGGUCCGAUGGAACUAGCCGCUGGUCGUCGCCGGACUGGAGUGUUUACUAGCCUCUGGUCGUCGCUCGCCGGUAUAGAUGCGCCGCUGGUUGCUCGUCAGAAAUCGAAGUAAGAAUCGCCGGAGAUGGGAGUGGGAGAAAAACAAGAUCGCCGGAGGGAAAUCGAUUUGGGUUUUGGGGGUUUUGGGGGGAAAUCGAUUUGGGGGAAAUAAUAUUAUUGGGAAAUUUAUAAUUUGGGAAAUAAUAUAUACUUAAUUUAAAUAAAUUUAUACUUUUGGGAAAUAACUAUAAAAUAAAAUUUAAAAUCUUUUGGGAAAUAACUUUAAAAUGAUAUUACAAUUUAACUUAGUUUAAAAUUUAAAAUUUAAUAUUACAA
rnacentral:lncRNA from 1 species